GACGUAGGGUGCAAGCGUUGUCCGGAGUUACUGGGCGUAAAGGGCGCGUAGGCGGCGUGUCGCGUCGCACGUGAAAGCCCCCGGCUCAACCGGGGAGGGGCGUGCGAAACGGGCAUGCUGGAGGCAGAGAGAGGCGAGUGGAAUUCCCGGUGUAGUGGUGAAAUGCGUAGAUAUCGGGAGGAACACCAGAGGCGAAGGCGGCUCGCUGGCUCUGACCUGACGCUGAGGCGCGAAGGCGUGGGGAGCGAACGGG
rnacentral:rRNA from 1 species